GACUCCGUGGCGCAAUUGGUUAGCGCGUCUGACUGUUAAGGAGAGAAAUUUCUAAAGCAAUCAGGAGGUUGGCAGUUCAAGCCUGCCCGGGGUCG